CUGCUUGGAGCAAUUUCAAUCCCUUCUAUUGCACAGCUGCUCACUAUGCAACAACCAGGACAGUACGAGUGGUUCGUCAGCCACUGAACCCAGCCACUCCACCUAACAUUAUCAUCAGCACACCACGCCUAAUGGAUUUUGUGGGGUCCCCCUUAAAUGCCACCAUCACCUGCAAUGCUAUUAAUCUGCACACUGAGAAAACCACGCUCCAGUGGCUGAGGGAUGAAGCAGUUCUUGAAUCGGAUGGCCCCACUACCAUUUCAACCUCAAAAUGCAAUCACAGCCUGAGGAGUGAGCUAACAGUCACCAAGAGAGACUGGGACAACGGCAAGAAGUUUUCCUGCAAGGUGUUCAACAAGAAAUUCAAUGGGAUAAGGAACAUCAGCAAACCCCUUAUAUGUGGCAAUCUUCCUGUCCCUGUCAAAGUUGAGACCAUCCAGCCUUCCUUUGUUGAUAUUUUCCAAGCCAAGACGGCCAUUCUGACCUGCAGAAUUUCGAACAUACCUAAGGACCAAGAUCUUAAGGAGCUGAAAGUCACCUGGACACGAGCAGAUGAUGGCCAACCCCUAGAGACUAUCCUUAAACAGUCCCAAGAACAAGAAAGCAGUGGGAUGCUAUUCAAGGAUGCAGUAGCUACGGUGCAUGCAGAUGAGUGGAACAAAGGGGAAACUUUCAACUGCAAAAUUAUUCACCCAGCUUUAUUUCCCUCAAUGGAAGUCAGAUCCUUGCGCAAGCCUCAAGAUGGCAACCCCUCUGCUCCACAUAUCUACAUCCUUCCUCCUCCUUCGGAUCAGCUGGCUCUGCAGGAAACAGCCACCGUCACUUGUUUGAUGAAAGAUUUCUCCCCUCCUGAGUUCUUUGUCAAAUGGCUGCGGAAUGAUGAGCCCGUGGAUGCUUCCAAAUACUUCACCAGCACAGCCACCCAGGAGUCCAAGGCACCCAAGCGGUAUUAUGCCUAUAGCAUGCUGAACGUCAACGCAGAAGAGUGGAAUUCUGGAACUACUUACACUUGUGUGGUGGGGCAUGAGAUGUUGCCCCUCCAGACGUCUCAGAAGACCAUAGACAAGAAUACGGAUCUCCUUGUGCCUGUCAAGGUUGAGACCAUCCAGCCUUCCUUUGUUGAUAUUUUCCAAACCAAGAUGGCCAAUCUGACCUGCAGAAUUUCGAACAUACCUGAGGAGCAAGAUCUUAAGGAGCUGAAAGUCACCUGGACACGAGCAGAUGAUGGCCAACCCCUAGAGACUAUCCUUAAACCUUCCCAAGAACAAGAAAGCAGUGGGCUGCUAUUCAAGGAUGCAGUAGCUACGGUGUGUGCAGAUGAGUGGAACAAAGGGGAAACUUUCAAAUGCAAAAUUAUUCACCCAGCUUUAUUUCCCUCAAUGGAAGUCAGAUCCCUGCGCAAGCCUCAAGAUGGCAACCCCUCUGCUCCACAUAUCUACAUCCUUCCUCCUCCUUCGGAUCAGCUGGCUCUGCAGGAAACAGCCACCGUCACUUGUGUGGUGAAAGGUUUCUCCCCUAGUGAGUUCUUUGUCAAAUGGCUGCGGAAUGAUGAGCCCGUAGAUGAUUCCGAAUACUUCACUAGCACAGCCACCCAGGAGUCCAAGGCACCCAAGCGGUAUUAUGCCUAUAGCAUGUUGAACGUCAACGCAGAAGAGUGGAAUUCUGGAACUACUUACACUUGUGUGGUGGGGCAUGAGAUGUUGCCCCUCCAGACGUCUCAGAAGACCGUAGACAAGAAUACGGAAAAAUCUGAUCUGCAUGUAUCAUCCAAAGCUUAUCUAGAUGUGAUCGUGGAUGCUGAUGACGAUGAAGAACUCCAAAACAUCUCAUCAAUCCUUUCCACUUUCAUCAUCCUUUUCCUUGUGAGCCUUUUCUACAGUGUCAUUGUAACUGUCUUCAAGGUGAAAUAACAAAGUGAAGAGGGACAAUAAGUUGCCUAACAUAAAAGACUGUCCAUUCUUUCAAUUUCUUUCAUCACCAGCACAAUCAAGGAUUUAAUAAUUCUCCAUUCACUUUUGGGGAAAGGUUGACUGGACAGAUGGCAUUUGUCUUCGCUUUGUCUCAUCAUGUAGCUGGGAGCAAGUCCUAUCAAACUAAACGGGACUAAUAUAUGACUAGACAUGCAUGGCCUUUUGCUGCCAGUGUUCCAUUUGAACUGGACCUAUUGGACUGGUUGUUUAUCCUUCAAACAUGUAUGCUAUAAUUUUGCCUUCCUUCAGUGUGUGUGUGUGUGUGUGUGUGUGUGUGUGUGUGUUGUAUUCAGCUAAGUACUACUUAAAG